rnacentral:rRNA from 1 species
AUUGAACGCUGGCGGCAGGCUUAACACAUGCAAGUCGAGCGGAGAUGAGGUGCUUGCACCUUAUCUUAGCGGCGGACGGGUGAGUAAUGCUUAGGAAUCUGCCUAUUAGUGGGGGACAACAUUCCGAAAGGAAUGCUAAUACCGCAUACGCCCUACGGGGGAAAGCAGGGGAUCUUCGGACCUUGCGCUAAUAGAUGAGCCUAAGUCGGAUUAGCUAGUUGGUGGGGUAAAGGCCUACCAAGGCGACGAUCCGUAGCGGGUCUGAGAGGAUGAUCCGCCACACUGGGACUGAGACACGGCCCAGACUCCUACGGGAGGCAGCAGUGGGGAAUAUUGGACAAUGGGCGGAAGCCUGAUCCAGCCAUGCCGCGUGUGUGAAGAAGGCCUUUUGGUUGUAAAGCACUUUAAGCGAGGAGGAGGCUACUUAGAUUAAUACUCUAGGAUAGUGGACGUUACUCGCAGAAUAAGCACCGGCUAACUCUGUGCCAGCAGCCGCGGUAAAAC